rnacentral:tRNA from 1 species
GGUGGGGUACGGAAGUGGCUAUAACCGGCCUGUCUUGAAAACAGGUGUUCACGUAAGUGGACCGUGAGUUCGAAUCUCACCCCCACCG